rnacentral:rRNA from 1 species
GACGAACGCUGGCGGCGUGCUUAACACAUGCAAGUCGAACGGAAAGGCCCUGCUUUUGUGGGGUGCUCGAGUGGCGAACGGGUGAGUAACACGUGAGUAACCUGCCCUUGACUUUGGGAUAACUUCAGGAAACUGGGGCUAAUACCGGAUAGGAGCUCCUGCUGCAUGGUGGGGGUUGGAAAGUUUCGGCGGUUGGGGAUGGACUCGCGGCUUAUCAGCUUGUUGGUGGGGUAGUGGCUUACCAAGGCUUUGACGGGUAGCCGGCCUGAGAGGGUGGCCGGCCACAUGGGGACUGAUAUACGGCCCAGACUCCUACGGGAGGCAGCAGUGGGGAAUAUUGCACAAUGGGCGGAAGCCUGAUGCAGCAACGCCGCGUGCGGGAUGACGGCCUUCGGGUUGUAAACCGCUUUCGCCUGUGACGAAGCGUGAGUGACGGUAAUGGGUAAAGAAGCACCGGCUAACUACGUG